GACGAACGCUGGCGGCGUGCUUAGCACAUGCAAGUCGAACGGAAAGGCCCUGCUUUUGUGGGGUGCUCGAGUGGCGAACGGGUGAGUAACGCGUGAGUAACCUGCCCUUGACUUUGGGAUAACUUCAGGAAACUGGGGCUAAUACCGGAUAGGAGCUCCUGCUGCAUGGUGGGGGUUGGAAAGUUUCGGCGGUUGGGGAUGGACUCGCGGCUUAUCAGCUUGUUGGUGGGGUAGUGGCUUACCAAGGCUUUGACGGGUAGCCGGCCUGAGAGGGUGACCGGCCACAUUGGGACUGAGAUACGGCCCAGACUCCUACGGGAGGCAGCAGUGGGGAAUAUUGCACAAUGGGCGGAAGCCUGAUGCAGCAACGCCGCGUGCGGGAUGACGGCCUUCGAGUUGUAAACCGCUUUCGCCUGUGACGAAGCGUGAGUGACGGUAAUGGGUAAAGAAGCACCGGCUAACUACGUG
rnacentral:rRNA from 1 species